AAAAAAAAAAAAGAAGGAACUGAGAGGGGUGGGGAGGAACCACUGUCUCUCCUGAAGUGCAAGCUGGGAGCGUAUAAAGGAAAAUGCUUUGACAUGUGGAAACAGUCAGGAGCAGCUAUCAAAGCAGCUGCACUACCUGGAAAAAAGGCAUGGCUAUUUUAAUCAUCCAACGAGACAUUUACAUGUUCCUAUGCAUUGUGAAGUACUGCAUCUGAAGAAUAUUUACAGCCUUGUGAAGUUGGGGCAACUGAACGUAGCUGAGUGUUUACCGGCCAGAUACCCUUCCUGACACCUUUGCGCUAUUUUCAGUGGAUAUUUUCUCUUUGCACCCUGAGAAACAUUUGUCACUGCCUAGGAUUGAACUCUCAACCUCCUGCAUGUAAAUACGUUCAACUAAUCAUUUGGAACGGGAAGUUCACUUGUGUUCUUGAAAGAAAAUGUUUCACACACCAUCAUCACCAUUUACCAUCAUUAUGAAGCUGGUCCUUAGAGGGAAACUAAAUGGAACAAUUCUUCUUUAAGGAUGUUACAGAUGUUGAUUUGGACAAUAUAAAAAUCCCAUGAAUGACCUUACUCAGAGGCUUUAUGUAGACAUCACGCAGCAUUGGGGAGAGCAUUGAGGAAACCUGUUAAGCAAGAACUACAGGCUAGUAGUAGCUAGACUUCUCCCCCUCCAGCACUGCCAACACUAACCAGAAUCAGCCCCAAAGGAAGAAGACAGAACUAGCACAGCACAGCUCUGUCCACUCCUAACACUCGAUGAAAUCCAGAAAGAUGCCAUGAUAGAAGGCAUGGAAGCCACUGAGAGGUCAGAAAAAGCAAGGCUAGACACAUUUCUCUUAACCCCCUCCUGGGAUAAGAAGAUCCCACAAGCACAAUCAUUGCUGUUUCAAUCCCGAAUCCCAACUGAAAGGAGUUUGGAUAAUCUACUUCUUCCACAAUCCUCUGAAGCUGCCAUCUUCUCAAUAAUCAUCAAAGUUGGGCAGAAAAACCUGGAAAACUAUUGCCCAGCAUGAUUGGACUUUUAAGCCAAGAAUGGCAGACAAUACAGGAAUCUGUGCUACAAGGACUACCGUUGCUUGUACACAUUCCUAACUGACAGAUCACCUUUAAAAAGAAAUUAUAACAGAUUGCGUUUACAUCCUUGGAUGUCAUUCUUAAAGCAACUGAUUCAUGGAAGGGGAAUGGUAUUUUCAUGUCCAGUUUCAAGAUACAAAAACAGCCAAAAUGAGUCUUUUUUUUCAAAGGUUUUAAUAUUAUAUAUCUAUUGUCAAUAUAUGUUCACAGAAAAUGCUUCCAGUGCAAAUAUUUUUGUUCAUAACUUUCUCUGAAAGCCACUUGCGGGAAUCUCUUUAGGUUUGCUUUCAUUUCUUUUCGUCAGUUUACUGUUUAAUCAGUAUAGUUUAUUUUGAGGUAAAUGUUUAACAAAUUGAAUCCAAUACUCAGAAAACCAAAUCUGGACCUAUCAAUUUCUGUGUAAUCAAACCUUAUCCUCUGCUAUAGAGACACACUUGGAACAUACGCAUCUCAAGUGGCAGGCUUUCUAUUAGAUCAGUGCCUAAAGUUGGUAAGAUUUCUCCCUCCUUAAAUAAUGUCAUGGAAUGAAUAUAAAGGAGAAGGAACACAUUAUCUUAUACAGGCAGUCCUCACUUAACAAUGGUAGCCCUGUCACUAAGCAGCAUGGUUGUAAAUAUGAUGUCAUGUGAUCGCACUGACUUAACGAUGGCAGCUGCGACAGUACCAGUUCCUGUUGUUAGGCGGCCCCAGGAAGUUGUAGCAUUCCACAGUUAUAUCAUCACCAUUAGCAAUGUCCUAUCAUUGACUUUCUGUGAAGAAGCUAGCAAGGAAGGUUGCAAAUGGCAAUCACAUGACUGUAUUGUUCUGCAACAUUGUAAUUGCAAGCUGGUUGCCAAGAGCUCGAAUCAAAUCUCAUGACCAUGGAGACAUUGUGAUGGUUGCAAUCAGAAGGAUGUAUCUUAAUCUCCUCCUUCAGCACCAUCAGAAUGUCAAUCAGUUGCUAAAUGAGUGGUUGUUCAAUGAGAAUUAUUUGUAGCAAACAAACACAAGCAAUUAAAUUUUCUUUAAUGAUACAAUAAAUUAAAAAGACAAGGAUCCCAAAUAUCUCAAGGAAAGUCUAAACCAUAGAUUCUGGUCAUGUCCAGAAAUGCACUUCUAAAGAUACUUGAUUUUGGAGUUUAAAUUUAAAUUGCAGGCAUGGUAGUUUUAUUCUGCCUCUGCGCAGCAGGAGAAUUUAUGUUAAUGAUUUGAGAGACUACAGACACAGAAAUGAGUUAAAACUUGGACCUUGAAAUUAAUGCUCUUCCACAGAAGUAAUUAGAGCUUCCUGUAAUUGGAUCAUACUUUUCACCAUGAGUGUUUUCUGUUAUUAUAUUAUGUGUUAUUGUACAGUGUAUUCAUUUUAUGUAUAUUAUAAAUCAUUAUGUAUUAUUUCUAACCCACCAUUCCAUCCAGAGG